UACAGGGGGGGCAAGCGUUGUUCGGAAUUACUGGGCGUAAAGGGCUCGUAGGUGGCCAACUAAGUCAGACGUGAAAUCCCUCAGCUUAACUGGGGAACUGCGUCUGAUACUGGAUGGCUUGAGUUUGGGAGAGGGAUGCGGAAUUCCAGGUGUAGCGGUGAAAUGCGUAGAUAUCUGGAGGAACACCUGUGGUGUAGACGGCUUUCUGGACCAUAGCUGACGCUGAGACACGAAAGCGUGGGUAGCAAACAGG
rnacentral:rRNA from 1 species